rnacentral:rRNA from 1 species
AGUGAACGCUGGCGGUAGGCCUAACACAUGCAAGUCGAACGGCAGCACAGUAAGAGCUUGCUCUUACGGGUGGCGAGUGGCGGACGGGUGAGGAAUACAUCGGAAUCUACUUUUUCGUGGGUGAUAACGUAGGGAAACUUACGCUAAUACCGCAUACGACCUACGGGUUAAAGCAGGGGAUCUUCGGACCUUGCGCGAUUGAAUGAGCCGAUGUCGGAUUAGCUAGUUGGCGGGGUAAAGGCCCACCAAGGCGACGAUCCGUAGCUGGUCUGAGAGGAUGAUCAGCCACACUGGAACUGAGACACGGUCCAGACUCCUACGGGAGGCAGCAGUGGGGAAUAUUGGACAAUGGGCGAAAGCCUGAUCCAGCCAUACCGCGUGGGUGAAGAAGGCCUUCGGGUUGUAAAGCCCUUUUGUUGGGAAAGAAAAGCAGCAGGUUAAUACCCCGAUGUUCUGACGGUACCCAAAGAAUAAGCACCGGCUAACUUCGUG